GUGUUUGCUUUGGCAGCACAUAUACUAAAACUGGAAUGAUACAGAGAAGAUUAGCAUGGCCCCUGCAUGAGAUGCAAGUUCAUGAAGCGUUCCAUAUUUUU
ensembl:snRNA U6 U6 spliceosomal RNA